rnacentral:rRNA from 1 species
UCGAGAAUCUUCGGCAAUGGGCGAAAGCCUGACCGAGCGACGCCGCGUGUGGGAUGAAGGCCUUCGGGUUGUAAACCGCUGUCAGUUGGGAGGAAGGGCCGAUGAAGAAUCGGCUUUGACCUAUCUUCAGAGGAAGUCCGGGCUAAGUUCGUGCCAGCAGCCGCGGUAAUACGAACCGGACGAACGUUAUUCGGAAUCAUUGGGCUUAAAGGGUGCGUAGGCGGCGCUGUAAGUCGGGUGUGAAAGCCCACGGCUCAACCGUGGAACUGCGCCCGAUACUGCAGUGCUUGAGGGAGACAGAGGUAAGCGGAACUGAUGGUGGAGCGGUGAAAUGCGUUGAUAUCAUCAGGAACACCAGUGGCGAAAGCGGCUUACUGGGUCUCUUCUGACGCUGAGGCACGAAAGCUAGGGUAGCGAACGGGAUUAGAUACCCCCGUAGUCC